ACGAACGCUGGCGGCAUGCCUAACACCUGCAAGUCGAACGAGACCUUCGGGUCUAGUGGCGCACGGGUGCGUCACGCGUGGGAACCUGCCCUUAGGUUCGGAAUAACUCCCCGAAAGGGGUGCUAAUACCGGAUAAUGUCUUCGGACCAAAGAUUUAUCGCCUUUGGAUGGGCCCGCGUUGGAUUAGCUAGUUGGUAGGGUAAAAGCCUACCAAGGCGACGAUCCAUAGCUGGUCUGAGAGGAUGAUCAGCCACACUGGGACUGAGACACGGCCCAGACUCCUACGGGAGGCAGCAGUGGGGAAUAUUGGACAAUGGGCGAAAGCCUGAUCCAGCAAUGCCGCGUGAGUGAUGAAGGCCUUAGGGUUGUAAAGCUCUUUUACCCGGGAUGAUAAUGACAGUACCGGGAGAAUAAGCUCCGGCUAACUCCGUG
rnacentral:rRNA from 1 species